UCCGUAGGCGGGCAAUUAAGUCAGAGGUGAAAUCCCACAGCUCAACUGUGGAACUGCCUUCGAUACUGGUUGUCUUGAGUUACAGUGAAGUAGAUAGAAUAUGUAGUGUAGCGGUGAAAUGCAUAGAUAUUACAUAGAAUACCGAUUGCGAAGGCAGUCUACUAACUGUAUACUGACGCUAAUGGACGAAAGCGUGGGGAGCGAACAGGAUUAGAUACCCUGGUAGUC
rnacentral:rRNA from 1 species